GUGGGGAAUAUUGCACAAUGGGCGGAAGCCUGAUGCAGCAACGCCGCGUGCGGGAUGACGGCCUUCGGGUUGUAAACCGCUUUCGCCUGUGACGAAGCGUGAGUGACGGUAAUGGGUAAAGAAGCACCGGCUAACUACGUGCCAGCAGCCGCGGUGAUACGUAGGGUGCGAGCGUUGUCCGGAUUUAUUGGGCGUAAAGGGCUCGUAGGUGGUUGAUCGCGUCGGAAGUGUAAUCUUGGGGCUUAACCCUGAGCGUGCUUUCGAUACGGGUUGACUUGAGGAAGGUAGGGGAGAAUGGAAUUCCUGGUGGAGCGGUGGAAUGCGCAGAUAUCAGGAGGAACACCAGUGGCGAAGGCGGUUCUCUGGGCCUUUCCUGACGCUGAGGAGCGAAAGCGUGGGGAGCGAACAGGCUUAGAAACCCUAGUAGUCCU
rnacentral:rRNA from 1 species